rnacentral:rRNA from 1 species
AGCUCCAAUAGCGUAUAUUAAAGUUGUUGCAGUUAAAAAGCUCGUAGUUGGAUCUCGGGUACUAGCAUGUGGUACGCUUAAUUGCUGUUACUGCUUGUCUAGUCCUAAUCAAUCGGUUGGCCGUUUAUGCCCUUUACUGGGUGUUUUCGGUAGCCGGUACGUUUACUUUGAGAAAAUUAGAGUGCUUAAAGCAGGCUUUACGCCUGAAUAAUGUUGCAUGGAAUAAUAGAAUAGGACCUCGGUUCUAUUUUGUUGGUUUUGUAGAGCAUUGAGGUAAUGAUUAAUAGGGACAGACGGGGGCAUUUGUAUUGCGGUGUUAGAGGUGAAAUUCUUGGAUCGCCGCAAGACAAACAACUGCGAAAGCAUUUGCCAAGAAUGUUUUCA